GCUUCCCCCUUCACUCAGCUCUCAUUCUUCUCCUUCCUGCCACCAUGUGAAGAGGGAUGUGUUUGCUUUCACUUCUACCAUGACUGUCAUUGGGUCAAGGUUUUGGCCAGAGAAUAGCAAGGAUGACUUAUCUCUGCUCCACUAUGUCUGGAACCUCUUGGAAUCAUUUGGAGUCUUCUUCACUCUCUUGCCUGGCACCUGGACUGGGAAAACUUGGAACCCACUGGGACUGUUGACCAAAGCACAAACAUGUGGCCUCUUCAUGUGGCUUGGGCUUUCCACAGCAUGGAGGCUGAUUUCUGAGGAGAGGCCCAAAAAUAAUAUACACAAAGAGAGAAGCAGAUGGAAUUUUGAGAGAGAAAAGGAGGAGGUAAAAUGAAGACAGGCAGAGAUGGGAGUGGUGCAGCCAAGAGCCAAGCAACACCUGGCGCCACCAGCAGCUGGAAGAGGAAAAGAAGAGAUUUAUCUCCAGAGUCUUAGGAGGAAGCACAGCAGUGCUUUAAUUUUGGACUUCUGGCUUCCACAAUAAGAAGAGAAUAAAUCGAUGUUGCCUUAGUCCAUCCAGUUUAUGGUAAUUUGUUACAGCACUCUAGGAAACUAAUACAACAAACAAGGCCUGACUGAACAGAGUGGAAAGUUAGCAGAGAGGAAGGAGAGGUGAGACCCUUCUCUUGGCCUAGUGAGAUCUGUUCCCUUAUUGUAGAAGAAAUGUGGGACUCUCUUCUUUUGUGACAUAUGACAAAGUUUUGGCAGGUGGGAAGGAGUGGAGGGCUUUUCAACCUUUUGGGCUAGAUUUCAUCAGUGAUUCCAUGGCAAAGGCUAAAUGUGUUUCAGCACUAUGUUUAAAGUCUGCUGGUUUUACACAUUCAAAUUCUACCCCAACUCAUAUUUCCUGCCUGCUUCUAUCUGUAUUCUCCAGACACAGCAUCAUCUCUCACAUUCUGAAAUAAAAGUGA
rnacentral:lncRNA from 1 species